GAGGCACCGUCAUCCAAUGCUAUCGUGUGAACCUGGUCAGGUCUUGAUCGAAGCAGCCAUAAGCAUGGGUAGGAUGUGGGUGGCGGUGCCUGAUA
rnacentral:SRP_RNA from 1 species